GUUUUUCACGCAAGAUGGAGUUGUGUAGACGGAAGAAGUUGCAUCGACUGCUGUUGUCUUUUGACAGCUACGAUUAAUUAUUUACUAUUUUUUAUUUCUACUCCUUCUAUCACUCUAACAGCGAGAAUAUUGGUCUAUUGGAAUAACGGACUUGGAUGUCAAACUAUAUUUUAGAAUUCAAACACAACUCAACCCAAAAUUGGCUCACGGCUCACUUUCAUUUUCAUUGUAGGUAGCUGAUUAGCGUAAAGAAUCGACGUUACAUAUACCUAUGUGGCCUACAUGAUGAAGUAUCAAGAUGUUGAACCUGGCCAACUCGACAAGAAAUGAUGCAGCAUACUUCAGUCUAAUUCAAUCCAAGAGGUCACACUAUUUUACAGCAAUUAGAAAGCAGUUUGGCCAUCAAUCAAUCAAUCUUCAUGCAUCAAUAUGACCAGUGAGAGUCAAGUGACAAUGUUGAGUUGUUGCGCAGUGCGCACUGCUUCUUCUUCAGGAUGACAUCAAGACCAGACGUGGCAUAAUUUAACCUAACUUUCCAUUUCAGCACUACUUAAUCAAGGUUUUUCUGCCUCUUUAAAGUCUAUCUUUUAGGCUAUUGUAAAGUAUUUAAUUAGAAGUGCACACAAUCAUGGGUAGUUUAGUUUGCUAAAUUGAACCACCGAUGCAGACAUUGAAACCUUUUUUCAGUUCCAGACUAAAUAAAAUUUGUCUAUUCAGCAAUUUGUUAUUGCCAACAAACAGUGCAUGAAGAGUUCAUCCCCUAACCGCUAUUUCAUGUUCCGUGACACGCGGGAUACGAAUUACUUGAAAUCUAAACUCAGGCGAAGGAGCAACCCGGAAGCGGCUCACCUCUGGAAGUUGAAUGUUGAGCGAAGAUGAGUAUUCUAUAAAGUUCAAAUGAAUUUUAUUUAAAUCUUAAACGUGUCAUCUAAUUUAAUGUAAAUUCUAGUUUAACAAUCGUCACAGAUAAUGUUGCAGUAGAAUAUUUUGGUUUAUUAUUUGAAUUGAUAUAAUGUUCACGUUUAGCGGUGAUGUUGCUGUCAAAUGUGGCAUGUUGUUGCAGUCUUAGGUGGUGCUGCUGCUGCACAAACAGUGCAGGACGAAUUCAACUCGUGAUUGCUGUUUCAUGUGCGCCGACACGCAGGAUGAAUUUUGAUGCUUAAGACUUGGAAACAUGCUGUCCACCACAUCCAGAAGCUGAGUAACAUUUUACAUGUGGAUGUGGAAAGUUCUGAAUGGCAUCUUAUAAUAUAAGGAGCUUCCACCAACCAGUCUAGGACUUGCAUCUAAUUGUGCAGGUUUCGUGGAGUUCUCAUUUACCUUUGCUGUGAACAUCAUGAACACAUACACUAUUUGAAGGUUCAUGUUUACGGAGCAGUGGUGUUGCUGUCCAAUGUGGUGUGUUGUUGCAGCCUAUGGUGGUGAAAGAUAUCUGCAUCAAGUUGCUGUUCCUUGUGCAUCCAAGGUGCUGGUUUUGUGCUACAGAAGUGACAUCCAAUUUUGUUUAUAAUUGCUAUUUGUGCCUUUGCAGUUUAUCUUUAUAUAUUGAGAAGGAAAAAAAAAGUAUUACGGGGAGGUUUAUGUCAAACAAAUAAUAAACAUGUCCAGGAUGGGGGAAUGAGGAGGAAGUUGGAGUGGGGUAUUUGAUUAUGAUUUACUAAAAGAAGUGAGGUAUAUUUUUAAUGAAUAUGCAGUACUUGGUGAUAGAAACUGUUGUUAACCUAUACCUUCCUGUCAACCUAUACCUUCCCUACUUCCACUUACACAUCCAUUCCUCAAACCCCAUAAGCACCAACACCAAAUCCCACAUCCACUCACAUCCAUUCCUAAAACCCCACAAUCCCCAACAACAAAUUCACACAAUAAUUGUAUAUCUAUUAUCAUAUUAAUAGCAAAUAAAUAAAAUGUAUUGUAUAAAAA